rnacentral:rRNA from 1 species
GAUGAACGCUGGCGGCGUGCCUAAUACAUGCAAGUCGAGCGAACAGACGAGGAGCUUGCUCCUCUGACGUUAGCGGCGGACGGGUGAGUAACACGUGGAUAACCUACCUAUAAGACUGGGAUAACUUCGGGAAACCGGCGCUAAUACCGGAUAAUAUAUUGAACCGCAUGGUUCAAUAGUGAAAGACGGUUUUGCGGUCACUUAUAGAUGGAUCCGCGCCGCAUUAGCUAGUUGGUACGGUAACGGGUUACCAAGGCAACGAUGCGUAGCCGGCCUGUGAGAGUGAUCGGCCACCCUGGAACUGAGACACGGUCCAGACUCCUACGGGAGGCAGCAGUAGCGAAUCUGCCGCAAUGGGCGAAAGCCUGACGGAGCAACGCCGCGUGAGUGAUGAAGGUCUUCGGAUCGUAAAACUCUGUUAUUAGGGAAGAACAAAUGUGUAAGUAACUAUGCACGUCUUGACGGUACCUAAUCAGAAAGCCACGGCUAACUACGUG